GGGGAAUAUUGGACAAUGGGGGGAACCCUGAUCCAGCCAUGCCGCGUGUGUGAAGAAGGCCUUUUGGUUGUAAAGCACUUUAAGCGGGGAGGAGGCUACCAGUACUAAUAUUACUGGCUAGUGGACGUUACCCGCAGAAUAAGCACCGGCUAACUCUGUGCCAGCAGCCGCGGUAAUACAGAGGGUGCGAGCGUUAAUCGGAUUUACUGGGCGUAAAGCGUACGUAGGCGGCUUUUUAAGUCGGAUGUGAAAUCCCUGAGCUUAACUUAGGAAUUGCAUUCGAUACUGGGAAGCUAGAGUAUGGGAGAGGAUGGUAGAAUUCCAGGUGUAGCGGUGAAAUGCGUAGAGAUCUGGAGGAAUACCGAUGGCGAAGGCAGCCAUCUGGCCUAAUACUGACGCUGGGGUACGAAAGCAUGGGUAGCAAAC
rnacentral:rRNA from 1 species